UUUUACGCCCCACUCAUCCGUAUUCCAGCUAUAUGACAGCGAUCUGUAAAUAAUCGAGUCUGAAUGAGACAAUCCAGUUACCAACAGCAUGAGCAGACGAU